GGUAAUCCCUCAAUCUACUGCUAAAAAUGGCCGGUUGAUGUGCUACUAAAACAGCAUUCAGAUAAGUAGAUUAUAUCAAUACAGCCUCCAAAGCAGAUGUAUCUGAUUGUCGUAGCUUUUAGGUAGGUCUCUUUAUUUUGAUACACAUUCAAUAUUUAUAAAUGUUAAGGGGAAGCAGUUGAUCAUGGUUAGUUUGGGCUGGCUUGGAUGCAAGAAGAAUCGUUGGCGUUGCAUGGUAAAAAUGAGCUUUCCCCUAUCCAGGCUUCCACCUGCUCUGACUGACUUUGGUAUUUGAACCCAGACAAACUAUGAUUAAUCUUAAUUAUGGUUAGUGGAAAUGAAACAACUUCAAAUAAUACUUUUAGAACUAGCUCAUUUUCAUUAAGAUUCUCUGUAUUUUGUCUGGACACACUGAACUGUGGUUUAAUCUAAAAAAUGGAAGCAACCGGCCAUGGGUUUCAUGGCUAAACCAUAGUUUUGCGGUAUGUUCUCACACUAUUAAAAAUUAUAUAUUGUUAAGAGUUUGUACCAGACUCUCCAAAUUCCUGGGUCCAGUAGGGGUUGGAAUUUAGUCAAUUCAAAUGUUAAAAUAUAAGCCAGUUUCCUGACCAGGAAGUCAACUGUGGUGAUGGGCCAUUAGGAGGACAAAAGGAAGGUGAUGGACCAUUAGGAAAGAGACGGAGCUCUGUGCCAGAUGGCAAAUGGAGGGGCCCCUCCCUCAACUCAAGACAAAAAAGGAGAGUUUAAAGUAGAGUCUUAGAGUUGAGUUGUCCAUGAUGUGAUCUAGGGGGAAAAGGUAGCAGGCUGUUGAAGACAGAAAGCUAGAGAGAGGAUCGGAGCCAUGGCUGAUACAGUGGUACCUCAGGUUACAUACGCUUCAGGUUACAGACUCCGCUAACCCAGAAAUAGUGCUUCAGGUUAAGUACUUUGCUUCAGGAUGAGAACAGAAAUCGUGCUCCGGCGGCGCGGCAGCAGCGGGAGGCCCCAUUAGCUAAAGUGGUGCUUCAGGUUAAGAACAGUUUCAGGUUAAGAACAGACCUCCGGAAUGAAUUAAGUACUUAACCCGAGGUACCACUGUACCUAUUUGAAUCCAUGGCUGCAGCUAUGGGAGAAAUAAGUCCCUCUUGGGAUGUCAGUGGUGUGAACCCCUCCAUCGUAGGCUCAGGUUGUAUAUAUGUGUAAAUAAACCAUAUAUCAUAAAGACACCACAAUCUGUGCUGUGCCUCAUUUCGAAAAGGAAACACGAACCCUGGGUACGUGCGUCUGGAGCGCCUGGAUUCUUGCCCCAUUCAGAGAUUGGGAUGAUGCGCAACAAUAUAUAAUGGCUUGUAUCCAAAGAGAUGUGUGUAUACACAGUGCUGCUCCGUUUUUCUUCCUUUCUGGAAAUAGGCUCUCACAGAUUGCGGCAACAGAAACUCCCUGAUGUUCAGGGAUUUAUUUAUUUUUAGGAGGCUCCUUCUGGAAACCUAUGAGCAUUCUGUUGAAUCCUGACCAAUACCUUUUUUAAAGCCCCCUACCCCACCCAAAGUGGAAUCCAGCCAGAUGCAAUGCAUUUUUUAUUUCUUAAAAAUAAUUUAACGUCCUGUGGAAAUGUGUGUGGCAAGGUAUUUGGGCUGGUUAGUGCUCCUUAAGGUAGCAUCAGGAGCUGUCACUGUUGUAAACACCAUGAGACAGAGCAGUUGUACUGUGGCGAUUGGUGAUAUGGUAUUUCUCUCGUCAAACAGAGAUUUCAACAGAAUGUUGCUAAGGGAAGUUGGGCUGGAAUGACACUUUCCCUCAUUAGAAUGAAUACCGUCAGAUGGGUUACAUUCGGAAAUAUAUUCUGUGACUGGCAUUUUGAAGCUGUCUUUCCUUGUCUGGCUCUUCCAAACUUUUGUUCAGAACCGCUUAGAUGUUCCUCUUUCCUGAGGUAUUUUUUUCUAGAGGGGGGAGGGAUUAAAAAAUCAAUUGUCCACAUUCUUCCUCCUUUGUUGGGAUUCAUUCAUAUAAUCAUAUUGUUCAGCUGAUCUUUGUGAUGCCAGUGGAACUGCCCCAUAAACUACUUCCUAUUAGUCUUUAUUCCCCCCUCCCCCUGAAAAGGAGAGCCCAUGUGAUGCAGUGACAUUUCAUUAUAUUUUUAGCUGUACACGUGAGAUGUUUUAUUCCAGAGGUCACCGACCGUUUUAGGCCUGUGGGCAUAUUUAAUAAUAAUAAUAAUAAUAAUCUUUAUUGCGGUCCAUCGACCCAUAACAUGGAUUCAGAAUAAAAUACAGUUUCAUACAGACAACCCCUCAGGGAAGGGAGACCGAAGCGUUAUGUUGAUCUUUGAUUCGUAUGACUACUGAAAGAAACUUUGCCACUGUGAUAUCAUUGGACUUGUUGUCCAGAAGAUAUUUGAUAUAGUAGGCUUCAGAUUGACCUGGCCGAUUUGCCAAUAGUGGUUUAAUCAAUAGUUCCCUAGCUUGAUCAUAUUGUCCGCAAGAGGGCAUAUUUGGAUUUUGGAGCAAGUGCCUGGUCAUUUCUCUCCCCUCUGCACAAAAGAAAGUGUGUAUACACAGGGUAAAAAGGAUCGGGGUAGAAAGUUAGACCCAGUAGAAAUAUUCUGAGCCUUCAAAAACACAUGGAGCUAAAACAGAAAAUGGGGGAGAGCAUCACUCAAAGAUGUUCACUGUCUCAAGAGGGCAGUAGCUGGGUGUGGGGAAGGAGGGGUCUGAGGCCUGGGGAAUACCUCAAUAUGCAAAUAUGCAUAUGAUAUGCAUAUUUACAAAGAUGUGUUAAUCACACAGGAACGCCAUCAAAAGGGAACUGCUAGCAAAUCAUACAUCUCUCUCCAUACCCUAUUUUCUUUUAGUUUACAUUUGUUUUGUUCUUUUAGGGUUUAGCUGGAGGUGUUAGGGGGGGAAACAGAGCACUCUAGAAGUUAGUUAUAAUUUCUAUGUGGAUGGGGGUUCCUCUCUCUUAUGUCUUACAGCUAGUGCUACAGACUUUUUGGUAGCAGUGGUGCCGGCAAUGGGCUGAGAAGGAGAGACAGCUAUGUCAACUUGUCCUAAUUCUAGCCCUGAUCCUCCAGUCGUACUGUAUAAAUGCUUCUCUUGAGCUGUUUGCAGAAGAGCAAUAAUACAGAAGUGUUAUGAGAAACCACACAGUAGGAAGACUACCUUUGAAUUGUGGCCUUCAGAGACGACAGUUUUAGCAUAUCCAUGUUGCGUCCUGUUCAGGGGAGAAGCUACAAGAAUAAUUGCUAAUCUGGAAAAACAGGUAGAAUUGAAUGAAACAGGAGGUUUAUGAAACUGGGGGUUCUAGAGUUGUCCAUGCAGUGGAAGACACAGCAGUUCUGGGCAGAGAAGACUAAUUAAGGCUUUUGAUAACCUAGAUGAGUGUGAGGUCAACGUGGAAAGAGAAUGAAGAAUGGUAAUAUGAUUUUUCUUCGGCCAGAGCAGGGUGGGGCACACCAAAGAAACUAGGUGCAUUUAGGAUUAGAAAUUGAAUUAAAUAUUUCCGGAAGUUAGAAUAAGGGAAACCACAGGUCCAAUAGGGCAAAGCCUUUCUUUUUUCCUGCCAUGUGUGCAAUGGAAAAAUGAUUAGAAUUUCAGAUGAGGAUUGCCUAGAGAAACUGACACUUUAAAACAUGGUUUGAAUCUGGCUUUGUGUUGUAGCUGUUCUCCAUUCGGCCGUUGGAGUGCUUGGUUUUCUCGAGUCUGAAUGCUCAGUGUCUCUGUGUGGAGAAACAGCGCUGGACCUGCGCAAGCAGUUUAGGGGAUAAUCUGGGGGGAAAGGCAACGUAAAGAGGAGAAGACAGAGAAUAAAGUUGCAUUGCAGAGGAUGGUACGAGAGAGUUGUUAGGAGUAUAGAGUCAAAAAAACCCCACAUCCAUUCACCAAAAUCAUUAACACUUUGGCAAGCCAGUGACUCUCUUGGGCUACAAUCCCAAAGCACACUUUGGCAGAAAAAAAAAGUCUGACUUCCAAGUUAAAAAAAAGAAAUGUAAUUAAGAUCAGGUUGUUCGUCUCUUAAGAGCAUCGAGAAUCCAUUUAUGGCUUCUCACAUAUGGCCUUAUUGCGUCAACAGUUGCAUUCUCUCUCCAUCAGGCUGUGCGCACUGACUAGUUAUUACCACUACAAUGAAGAUUUUGCUAGCACAUAAUUUCACUGAUUCAUUCUGAACUCACCAUGGCAAGAAAUAAUCCUGAAUGCCUUCGCCUUACUGCCGAGGCUUCACCAGAUGCUGUUGUACCAGUAAAGUUUCAUUGCUGAGCAACUGUAGUAUAUGGAGCCAUCUGGGGCUGCACCAUGUAGAUUGUUUGAAGUGGAGAAGCAGCAGAAUUCUAGUUUCCUUCUGCCUGCCUGCUGGGCAGGAAUCUCCUGGGGGUGCUGUGGAGCAAGGUGACCCAACCUUUUAAAAUAAAACAAUAUUCAUUUUAUUGAUUUUUAUUUAAAGUAUUUAUUGGCUGCACGUCAUCAGAUUUCUGUUCUGCAUACAAAAUUGAAAAUAAUUCAAAAAACACAAAUGGAUGGUUUUUUAUUUUUAAAAAAGUCCAAUGGUGAAAUAAAUUAUAGAAGAAGCUAAAACACAACACAGCUAAGUAAGAAAAGCAGUUAC
rnacentral:lncRNA from 1 species